rnacentral:rRNA from 1 species
UACGAAGGGUGCAAACGUUGCUCGGAAUUACUGGGCGUAAAGCGUGCGUAGGUGGUUUCUUAAGUCUGAUGUGAAAGCCCACGGCUCAACCGUGGAGGGUCAUUGGAAACUGGGAAACUUGAGUGCAGAAGAGGAGAGUGGAAUUCCACGUGUAGCGGUGAAAUGCGUAGAGAUGUGGAGGAACACCAGUGGCGAAGGCGACUCUCUGGUCUGUAACUGACGCUGAGGAGCGAAAGCGUGGGGAACAAACAGG